UACGAAGGGGGCGAGCGUUGUUCGGAUUUACUGGGCGUAAAGGGCGCGCAGGCGGCUCAUUUUGUCAGGCGUGAAAGCCCCGGGCUUAACCUGGGAACUGCGUUUGAUACGGAUGGGCUAGAGUUCGGGAGAGGAGAGUGGAAUUCCCAGUGUAGAGGUGAAAUGCGUAGAUAUCGGGAGGAACACCAGUGGCGAAGGCGGUGGGCUGGGCAGGAACUGACGCUGAGGAGCGAAAGCGUGGGGAGCGAACAGG
rnacentral:rRNA from 1 species